ACUCCUACGGGAGGCAGCAGUGGGGAAUCUUGCGCAAUGGGCGGAAGCCUGACGCAGCAACGCCGCGUGAGGGAAGACGGCCUUCGGGUUGUAAACCUCUUUCAGGGGGACGAAGCUUGCCGAGGUUAAUAGCCUACGGGGUGGACGGUACCCCAGAAGAAGCCCCGGCUAACUACGUGCCAGCAGCCGCGGUAAUACGUAGGGGGCGAGCGGUUGUCCGGGAAUUAUUGGGCGUAAAGCGCGUGUAGGCGGCUAGGUAAGUCUGGUGUGAAAUCUUGGGGCUCAACCCCAAGCCUGCACUGGAUCAACUGCCCAAGCUAGAGU
rnacentral:rRNA from 1 species